GAUGCUAAUACCGGAUAACAACAGAUGAUGCCUAUCAACUGUUUAAAAGAUGGUUCUGCUAUCACUCUUGGAUGGACCUGCGGUGCAUUAGCUAGUUGGUAGGGUAACGGCCUACCAAGGCGAUGAUGCAUAGCCGAGUUGAGAGACUGAUCGGCCACAUUGGGACUGAGACACGGCCCCAAACUCCUACGGGAGGCAGCAGGC
rnacentral:rRNA from 1 species